AUGAACGCUAGCUACAGGCUUAACACAUGCAAGUCGAGGGGCAGCAUCAUUAAAGCUUGCUUUGAUGGAUGGCGACCGGCGCACGGGUGAGUAACACGUAUCCAACCUGCCGACAACACUGGGAUAGCCUUUCGAAAGAAAGAUUAAUACCGGAUGGCAUAGUUUUCCCGCAUGGGAUAAUUAUUAAAGAAUUUCGGUUGUCGAUGGGGAUGCGUUCCAUUAGGCAGUUGGCGGGGUAACGGCCCACCAAACCAACGAUGGAUAGGGGUUCUGAGAGGAAGGUCCCCCACAUUGGAACUGAGACACGGUCCAAACUCCUACGGGAGGCAGCAGUGAGGAAUAUUGGUCAAUGGACGAGAGUCUGAACCAGCCAAGUAGCGUGAAGGAUGACUGCCCUAUGGGUUGUAAACUUCUUUUAUACGGGAAUAAAGUGAGCCACGUGUGGCUUUUUGUAUGUACCGUAUGAAUAAGGAUCGGCUAACUCCGUGCCAGCAGCCGCGGUAAUACGGAGGAUCCGAGCGUUAUCCGGAUUUAUUGGGUUUAAAGGGAGCGUAGGCGGGUUGUUAAGUCAGUUGUGAAAGUUUGCGGCUCAACCGUAAAAUUGCAGUUGAUACUGGCGACCUUGAGUGCAACAGAGGUAGGCGGAAUUCGUGGUGUAGCGGUGAAAUGCUUAGAUAUCACGAAGAACUCCGAUUGCGAAGGCAGCUUACUGGAUUGUAACUGACGCUGAUGCUCGAAAGUGUGGGUAUCAAACAGGAUUAGAUACCCUGGUAGUCCACACAGUAAACGAUGAAUACUCGCUGUUGGCGAUAUACGGUCAGCGGCCAAGCGAAAGCAUUAAGUAUUCCACCUGGGGAGUACGCCGGCAACGGUGAAACUCAAAGGAAUUGACGGGGGCCCGCACAAGCAGUGGAGUAUGUGGUUUAAUUCGAAGCAACGCGAAGAACCUUACCAGGUCUUGACAUCGAUCUAAAGGCUCCAGAGAUGGAGAGAUAGCUAUAGAGAAGACAGGUGGUGCAUGGUUGUCGUCAGCUCGUGCCGUGAGGUGUCGGCUUAAGUGCCAUAACGAGCGCAACCCUUAUCGAUAGUUACCAUCAGGUUAUGCUGGGGACUCUGUCGAGACUGCCGUCGUAAGAUGUGAGGAAGGUGGGGAUGACGUCAAAUCAGCACGGCCCUUACGUCCGGGGCUACACACGUGUUACAAUGGGGGGUACAGAAGGCAGCUACACGGCGACGUGGUGCUAAUCCCUAAAGCCUCUCUCAGUUCGGAUUGGAGUCUGCAACCCGACUCCAUGAAGCUGGAUUCGCUAGUAAUCGCGCAUCAGCCACGGCGCGGUGAAUACGUUCCCGGGCCUUGUACACACCGCCCGUCAAGCCAUGAAAGCCGGGGGUACCUGAAGUACGUAACCGCGAGGAGCGUCCUAGGGUAAAACUGGUGAUUGGGGCU
rnacentral:rRNA from 1 species